UGGAGCCAAUUCAACUGUGAGCUUGACACCACAGCUGAUUGUCCUGUCUAGGUGGAGGGCCUCACAGAUGGGCAAGACAGCAGAGGCACUGCAGAGAUCCUAGGAUUUAUGACCUCCAGAAACAACAUGAUGUACACAUGAGACGCAUUCUGGCCCUUCGUGCCCUCCCAGAGAGGGUGACUGAUUUCUUCAAGACCCGCAAUUGCAAAGAUGAACCAGAUAUUGCUGACACGCCUGUGGCUCUCCUCACUGUGGUCACUGACGACACCCCUGCUGCGGUCCACUUCAACCCUGAGAGCGUUUCUGUUGUAGUCGAAGUGGAAAUUGUGAGUGAUUAUCCAAAGAAACUAAUUUACGCAUUCACCUUUGUUCAGAAAAUAAUAAUGUCUUGAUGAUAGCAAACCACUGAAGCUGUGACUAAAAGUACUUGUUGAAAGAAGUUUGAAUGUACUCAUGUACAUAAACGGUUUGUUUCUGUGAAAUAUAGAA